UGGGGAAUAUUGGACAAUGGGGGCAACCCUGAUCCAGCCAUGCCGCGUGUGUGAAGAAGGCCUUUUGGUUGUAAAGCACUUUAAGCAGUGAAGAAGACUCCAUGGUUAAUACCCAUGGACGAUGACAUUAGCUGCAGAAUAAGCACCGGCUAACUCUGUGCCAGCAGCCGCGGUAAUACAGAGGGUGCAAGCGUUAAUCGGAAUUACUGGGCGUAAAGCGAGCGUAGGUGGCUUGAUAAGUCAGAUGUGAAAGCCCCGGGCUUAACCUGGGAACGGCAUCUGAUACUGUUAGGCUAGAGUAGGUGAGAGGAAGGUAGAAUUCCAGGUGUAGCGGUGAAAUGCGUAGAGAUCUGGAGGAAUACCGAUGGCGAAGGCAGCCUUCUGGCAUCAUACUGACACUGAGGUGCGAAAGCGUGGGGAGCAAACA
rnacentral:rRNA from 1 species